GCUCCCGCUAUGGGAUGAGCCUAUGUCGGAUUAGCUAGUUGGUGAGGUAACGGCUCACCAAGGCGACGAUCCGUAGCUGGUCUGAGAGGAUGAUCAGCCACAUCGGGACUGAGACACGGCCCGAACUCCUACGGGAGGCAGCAGUGGGGAAUAUUGGACAAUGGGCGAAAGCCUGAUCCAGCCAUGCCGCGUGUGUGAAGAAGGCCCUCGGGUUGUAAAGCACUUUCAGCGAGGAAGAACGCCUAGCGGUUAAUACCCGCUAGGAAAGACAUCACUCGCAGAAGAAGCACCGGCUAACUCCGUGCCAGCAGCCGCGGUAAUACGGAGGGUGCAAGCGUUAAUCGGAAUUACUGGGCGUAAAGCGCGCGUAGGUGGCUUGAUAAGCCGGUUGUGAAAGCCCCGGGCUCAACCUGGGAACGGCAUCCGGAACUGUCAAGCUAGAGUGCAGGAGAGGAAGGUAGAAUUCCCGGUGUAGCGGUGAAAUGCGUAGAGAUCGGGAGGAAUACCAGUGGCGAAGGCGGCCUUCUGGACUGACACUGACACUGAGGUGCGAAAGCGUGGGUAGCAAACAGGAUUAGAUACCCUGGUAGUCCACGCCGUAAACGAUGUCGACCAGCCGUUGGGUGCCUAGCGCACUUUGUGGCGAAGUUAACGCGAUAAGUCGACCGCCUGGGGAGUACGGCCGCAAGGUUAAAACUCAAAUGAAUUGACGGGGGCCCGCACAAGCGGUGGAGCAUGUGGUUUAAUUCGAUGCAACGCGAAGAACCUUACCUACUCUUGACAUCCUGCGAAUUUGGUAGAGAUACCUUAGUGCCUUCGGGAACGCAGAGACAGGUGCUGCAUGGCUGUCGUCAGCUCGUGUUGUGAAAUGUUGGGUUAAGUCCCGUAACGAGCGCAACCCUUGUCCUUAUUUGCCAGCGCGUAAUGGCGGGAACUCUAAGGAGACUGCCGGUGACAAACCGGAGGAAGGUGGGGACGACGUCAAGUCAUCAUGGCCCUUACGAGUAGGGCUACACACGUGCUACAAUGGUCGGUACAAAGGGUUGCCAACUCGCGAGAGUGAGCCAAUCCCGAAAGGCCGAUCUCAGUCCGGAUCGGAGUCUGCAACUCGACUCCGUGAAGUCGGAAUCGCUAGUAAUCGUGGAUCAGAAUGCCACGGUGAAUACGUUCCCGGGCCUUGUACACACCGCCCGUCACACCA
rnacentral:rRNA from 1 species